rnacentral:rRNA from 1 species
GACGAACGCUGGCGGCGUGCUUAACACAUGCAAGUCGAACGGAAAGGCCCUGCUUUUGUGGGGUGCUCGAGUGGCGAACGGGUGAGUAACACGUGAGUAACCUGCCCUUGACUUUGGGAUAACUUCAGGAAACUGGGGCUAAUACCGGAUAGGAGCUCCUGCUGCAUGGUGGGGGUUGGAAAGUUUCGGCGGUUGGGGAUGGACUCGCGGCUUAUCAGCUUGUUGGUGGGGUAGUGGCUUACCAAGGCUUUGACGGGUAGCCGGCCUGAGAGGGUGACCGGCCACAUUGCGACUGAGAUACGGACCAGACUGCUACGGGAGGCAGCAGUGGGGAAUAUUGCACAAUGGGCGGAAGCCUGAUGCAGAAACGCCGCGUGCGGGAUGACGGCCUUCGGGUUGUAAACCGCUUUCGCCUGUGACGAAGCGUGAGUGACGGUAAUGGGUAAAGAAGCACCGGCUAACUACGUG